ACGCUGGCGGCAGGCCUAACACAUGCAAGUCGAGCGGUAGAGAGAAGCUUGCUUCUCUUGAGAGCGGCGGACGGGUGAGUAAUGCCUAGGAAUCUGCCUGGUAGUGGGGGAUAACGUUCGGAAACGGACGCUAAUACCGCAUACGUCCUACGGGAGAAAGCAGGGGACCUUCGGGCCUUGCGCUAUCAGAUGAGCCUAGGUCGGAUUAGCUAGUUGGUGGGGUAAUGGCUCACCAAGGCGACGAUCCGUAACUGGUCUGAGAGGAUGAUCAGUCACACUGGAACUGAGACACGGUCCAGACUCCUACGGGAGGCAGCAGUGGGGAAUAUUGGACAAUGGGCGAAAGCCUGAUCCAGCCAUGCCGCGUGUGUGAAGAAGGUCUUCGGAUUGUAAAGCACUUUAAGUUGGGAGGAAGGGCAGUAAAUUAAUACUUUGCUGUUUUGACGUUACCGACAGAAUAAGCACCGGCUAACUCUGUGCCAGCAGCCGCGGUAAUACAGAGGGUGCAAGCGUUAAUCGGAAUUACUGGGCGUAAAGCGCGCGUAGGUGGUUCGUUAGGUUGGAUGUGAAAUCCCCGGGCUCAACCUGGGAACUGCAUUCAAAACUGUCGAGCUAGAGUAUGGUAGAGGGUGGUGGAAUUUCCUGUGUAGCGGUGAAAUGCGUAGAUAUAGGAAGGAACACCAGUGGCGAAGGCGACCACC
rnacentral:rRNA from 1 species